rnacentral:rRNA from 1 species
AGUGAACGCUGGCGGUAGGCCUAACACAUGCAAGUCGAACGGCAGCACAGUAAGAGCUUGCUCUUACGGGUGGCGAGUGGCGGACGGGUGCGGAAUACAUCGGAAUCUACUUUUUCGUGGGGGAUAACGUCGGGAAACUUACGCUAAUACCGCAUACGCCCUACGGGUGAAAGCCGGGGAUUUUCCGACCUUGCGCGAUUGAAUGAGCCGAUGUCGGAUUAGCUAGUUGGCGGGGUAAAGGCGCACCAAGGCGACGAUCCGUAGCUGGUCUGAGAGGAUGAUCAGCCACACUGGAACUGAGACACGGUCCAGACUCCUACGGGAGGCAGCAGUGGGGAAUAUUGGACAAUGGGCGCAAGCCUGAUCCAGCCAUACCGCGUGGGUGAAGAAGGCCUUCGGGUUGUAAAGCUCUUUUGUUGGGAAAGAAAAGCAGCAGGUUAAAACCCCGCUGUUCUGACGGUACCCAAAGAAUAAGCACCGGCUAACUUCGUG